GCCUGCGGAGGGAUCAUUACUGAGUUCUACAAAACUCCCAACCCUUUGUGAAUUAUACCUUAGUUGCCUCGGCGUCGAGCGAGUCAACCUACCCGGGAGCUACCCUGGAGUCACCUACCCUGUAGGACCUACCCUGUAGAUGGCUACCCUGGAGCUACCCUGUAGUUGCACUUCCGCGUCGCCGGUGGACUACCAAACUCUUAUAUGUAUAGUGUAUCUCUGAAUUCGUAACAAAAUUAGUUAAAACUUUCAACAACGGAUCUCUUGGUUCUGGCAUCGAUGAAGAACGCAGCGAAAUGCGAUAAGUAAUGUGAAUUGCAGAAUUCAGUGAAUCAUCGAAUCUUUGAACGCAUAUUGCGCCCAGUAGUAUUCUACUGGGCAUGCCUAUUCGAGCGUCAUUUCAACCCUUACGCCCUGUAGCGUAGUGUUAGGACUCUACUCUCUAGAGGGUAGUUCCCCAAAACCAGUGGCAGUGUUCGGUACACUCAUAGCGUAGUAAUUCUUCUCGCUUCUGCAGUGGCCCGUACGAUUCGCCGUAAAACCCCCAAUUUUCUAAUGGUUGACCUCGGAUUAGGUAGGAAUACCCGCUGAACUUAAGCAUAUCAAA
rnacentral:rRNA from 1 species